UGAAAGAAACAGACGCAAUGAUCGUCCUCGCAACUUUGAUAGAACCAGAAACUUUGAGAGGAGAAGAGAGAACAUGGCAGGAGGCCCUCCUCCUCAACGUCCUCCAAUGGGAGGUCCUCCUCCUCCUCCGCACAUGGGUGGCUCUGCACCUCCUCCGCCUCACAUGGGUGGCUCUGCACCUCCUCCACCUCACAUGGGGCAGAACUACGGUGGACCACCACCACCAAACAACAUGGGAGGACAAAGGCCGCCACCCAACUAUGGAGGACCACCGCAAAACAACAUGGGAGGACAGAGGCCACCACCAAACUACGGAGGAGCACCACCUCCGAACUACGGAGGAGCCCCACCAGCAAACAACAUGGGAGGAGGACCACCACCUAACUAUGGAGGAGGACCACCACCUAACUAUGGAGGAGUACCACCACCAAACUAUGGAGCAGCACCGCCACCUAACUACGGAGGAGCACCCCCACAGAACAACAACUACCAGCAGCAGAGUGGUGGAAUGCAGCAGCCACAGUACCAGAACAACUACCCACCUAACCGGG
rnacentral:lncRNA from 1 species